rnacentral:rRNA from 1 species
UACGAAGGGGGCUAGCGUUGUUCGGAAUUACUGGGCGUAAAGCGUACGUAGGCGGAUUGUUAAGUGAGGGGUGAAAUCCCGAGGCUCAACCUCGGAACUGCCUUUCAUACUGGCAAUCUUGAGUCCGGGAGAGGUGGGUGGAACUCCUAGUGUAGAGGUGAAAUUCGUAGAUAUUAGGAAGAACACCAGUGGCGAAGGCGGCUCACUGGCCCGGAACUGACGCUGAGGUACGAAAGCGUGGGGAGCAAACAGG